GUGAGGAAUAUUGCGCAAUGGAGGCAACUCUGACGCAGCCAUGCCGCGUGCAGGAAGAAGGCGCUACGCGUUGUAAACUGCUUUUAACCGGGAAGAAACCCCAGGACGUGUCCUGGGUUGACGGUACCGGAGGAAUAAGCACCGGCUAACUUCGUGCCAGCAGCCGCGGUAAUACGAAGGGUGCAAGCGUUAUCCGGAUUCAUUGGGUUUAAAGGGUGCGUAGGCGGAGCGUUAAGUCAGUGGUGAAAUCCUGCAGCUUAACUGUAGACUUGCCAUUGAUACUGGCGCUCUUGAGUGCGCUUGAAGUGGGCGGAAUGUGUCGUGUAGCGGUGAAAUGCUUAGAUAUGGCACAGAACACCAAUUGCGAAGGCAGCUCACUAAGGCGAUACUGACGCUGAGGCACGAAAGCGUGGGGAUCGAACAGGAUUAGAAACCCUAGUAGUCC
rnacentral:rRNA from 1 species